CCUACGGGAGGCUGCAGUGGGGAAUAUUGCACAAUGGGGGAAACCCUGAUGCAGCGACGCCGCGUGAGUGAAGAAGUAUUUCGGUAUGUAAAGCUCUAUCAGCAGGGAAGAAAAUGACGGUACCUGAUUAAGAAGCCCCGGCUAACUACGUGCCAGCAGCCGCGGUAAUACGUAGGGGGCAAGCGUUAUCCGGAUUUACUGGGUGUAAAGGGGGCGUAGACGGCAGCACAAGUCUGGAGUGAAAUGCCGGGGCUUAACCCCGGAACUGCUUUGGAAACUGUGCAGCUAGAGUGCAGGAGAGGUAAGUGGAAUUCCUGGUGUAGCGGUGAAAUGCGUAGAUAUUAGGAGGAACACCAGUGGCGAAGGCGGCUUACUGGACUGUAACUGACGUUGAGGCUCGAAAGCGUGGGGAGCAAACAGGAUUAGAUACCCCAGUAGUC
rnacentral:rRNA from 1 species